GCCAUGCAUGUCUAAGUACACACUUUGACACAGUGAAACCGCGAAUGGCUCAUUAAAUCAGUUAUUGUUUAUUUGGACCUACCACCUACUUGGAUAACCGUGGCAAUUCUAGGGCUAAUACAUGCAACAAAGCUCCGACUUUUUGGGAGGAGCGCUUUUAUUAGAUCAAGACCAAUCGGUUCUUCGAACCGUCCCUUUGGUGACUCUGGAUAACUUAGCCGAUCGCAUGGCCUUGCGCUGGCGACGUACCAUUCAAAUUUCUGCCUCAUCAACUGUCGAUGGUAAGUUAUGUGCUUACCAUGGUUGUAACGGGUAACGGGGAAUUAGGGUUCGAUUCCGGAGAGGGAGCCUGAGAAACGGCUACCACAUCCAAGGAAGGCAGCAGGCGCGCAAAUUACCCACUCCCGGCUCGGGGAGGUAGUGACGAAAAAUAACAAUGCAGGACUUUUUUCGAGCCCUGUAAUUGGAAUGAGUGCACUUUAAAUCCUUACACGAGGAUCUAUUGGAGGGCAAGUCUGGUGCCAGCAGCCGCGGUAAUUCCAGCUCCAAUAGCGUAUAUUAAAGUUGUUGCAGUUAAAAAGCUCGUAGUUGGAUCUCGGCCACGGUGGUGUGGUGGCCCUCGCGGGUCUGGCCGCAUUCACCUGGCGUUUCUUCCACUUUUCCCCUUGGUGCUCUUUACUGCAGUGCUUCGGGGAGGGUGGACUUUUUACUUUGAAGAAAUUAGAGUGUUCAAAGCAGGCCCACGAGCCUGAAUAAUGGUGCAUGGAAUAAUGGAAUACGAUUUCGGUCUUGUUCUGUUGGUCUUCGAGACACGAGAUAAUGAUUAAGAGGGACGGCCGGGGGCGUUCGUAUUGCACCGUGAGAGGUGAAAUUCUUGGAUCGGUGCAAGACGCACUACAGCGAAAGCAUUCGCCAANAAUGUUUUCAUUAAUCAAGAACGAAAGUUGGAGGUUCGAAGACGAUCAGAUACCGUCGUACUUCCAACUGUAAACGAUGCCAACUAGCGAUCAGGGAGAGUUAACUCAAUGACUUUCCUGGCAGCUUCCGGGAAACCAAAGUUUUUGGGUUCCGGGGGAAGUAUGGUUGCAAAGCUGAAACUUAAAGGAAUUGACGGAAGGGCACCACCAGGAGUGGAGCCUGCGGCUUAAUUUGACUCAACACGGGAAAACUCACCCGGCCCGGACACCGUGAGGAUUGACAGAUUGAGAGCUCUUUCUUGAUUCGGUGGGUGGUGGUGCAUGGCCGUUCUUAGUUGGUGGAGCGAUUUGUCUGGUUAAUUCCGAUAACGAACGAGACUCUGGCUUGCUAAAUAGUUGGUUGACGCCUUGUGCGCCGACCUUCAACUUCUUAGAGGGAUUAGUGGCGUCUAGCCACACGAGAUUGAGCAAUAACAGGUCUGUGAUGCCCUUAGAUGUUCGGGGCCGCACGCGCGCUACACUGAGGGGGUCAACAAGCGUUUUUCCUUGCCCGAAAGGGCUGGGUAACCUUUUGAAACCUUCUCGUGCUAGGGAUAGGGAAUUGUAAUUAUCUCCCUUGAACGAGGAAUUCCUAGUAAGCGCAAGUCAUUAGCUUGCGUUGAUUACGUCCCUGCCCUUUGUACACACCGCCCGUCGCUACUACCGAUUGAACGAUUUAGUGAGAGCCUCGGACUGGUCUCGUCGAUGCUCGCAAGGGCGUCAGUGUGGACCGGAAAGUUGUUCAAACUUGAUCGUUUAGAGGAAGUAAAAGUCGUAACAAGGUUU
rnacentral:rRNA from 1 species